GAUGAACGCUGGCGGCGUGCCUAAUACAUGCAAGUCGAGCGAACAGACGAGGAGCUUGCUCCUCUGCCGUUAGCGGCGGACGGGUGAGUAACACGUGGAUAACCUACCUAUAAGACUGGGAUAACUUCGGGAAACCGGAGCUAAUACCGGAUCAUAUAUUGAACCUCAUGGUUCAAUAGUGAAAGACGGUUUUGCUGUCACUUAUAGAUGGAUCCGCGCCGCAUUAGCUAGUUGGUAAGGUAACGGCUUACCAAGGCAACGAUGCGUAGCCGACCUGAGAGGGUGAUCGGCCACACUGGAACUGAGACACGGUCCAGACUCCUACGGGAGGCAGCAGUAGGGAAUCUUCCGCAAUGGGCGAAAGCCUGACGGAGCAACGCCGCGUGAGUGAUGAAGGUCUUCGGAUCGUAAAACUCUGUUAUUAGGGAAGAACAAAUGUGUAAGUAACUAUGCACGUCUUGACGGUACCUAAUCAGAAAGCCACGGCUAACUACGUG
rnacentral:rRNA from 1 species